CUAUUCCAUUGGUCUAUGUGUCUGUUUUUAUGCCAGUACCACACUGUUUUGAUUAUUGUUACCAUAUAUGACUGUCUAAAAAAUUUUAUGUAUGUAUAAAAAUUUUUAUGUAUACAUAAAAUUUAUACAUACAUAAAAUUUUUUUUGAGACAGUCUUGCUCUGUUGCCCAGGCUGGAGUGCAGUGGCACAAUCUAGGCUCAGCUCACUGCAACCUGCGCUUCCUGGCAAGCGAUUCUCGUCUUGUAAUAUAUUUUGAAAUCAGGAAGUGUGAUGCCUCCAGCUUUGUCCUUCUUUCUCAAGCUUAUUUUGGCUAUCCAGGGUCCCUUGAGAGUCCACAUAAAUUUUAGGAUAAAUUUUUAAUUGGAUUUUUUAAUAGGGAUUACAUUGUUUGCUUAAUGUAAUCAUAAUGCAUAUGAUUUUCUUAUGCCCCCAACAAAUAUGAAAUCAUAGUCAUAAUCAUUUGCUAAAUGAUUACAUUAAGAUUGUUUUGGGUAGUGUUGACAUUUUAACAAAACUAAGUCUUCCAAUCAUGAGCACAGAUGUCAUUCCAUUUAUUUGUGUCUUCUUUAAGUGCUUUCAGCAAUGUUUUAAAGUUUUAGCGUACAGUCUUUUGUCUUCUUGGUUAAGUUUAUUUCCAAGUAUUUUAUUCUUUUUGAUACUAUUGUAAAUGAAAUUGCUUUUGUAAUUCCCUGCAGCCUCUUUCAUGCUCUGAGCAGAACUGCAUUGCAUACAAUCAAUCACCUACACUCACAGGCAAGAAUGUACUACUAUUGUAAUAAUGUAAAUUUUUCUAAAAUCACAAAAUGGAAAAUGCAUCUUAUUUGCUUUUAACGUUUUAGCAGAUGAUGUGGUCAAGUAAAUAAAUAAAAGGAGAGAAAGAGAAGUUCUGUGUGUGUGUGUGUGUGUGUGUGUGUGUGUGUGUGUGUGUGUCUGUCUGUCUAAGAUCCUUUUGUUGUUUGCUUUGGCCUAGUUUCUUAUGCUUUGAGGAAAAGCUCAUUCUCAUUCAUGUGACUUGCUUUGGCUAAUAGGACACCAGAGCAUGAUGCAAGUGUGGCUUAAUCGGUGCUUGCACAUUGGGCUUGUUCUUUCCAAACCUGUUGCCCCGAUUCUGCAAGGCUAUCCUGCUGUAGAAGGAGGCCCUGGAGGACAAGACACCAUGUGGGGAAAACAGCCAUGGGGAGCAGAACCGAGGUAUCCCAGCUUAGCUCCCAACUGACAGCAGCCACAUGAGUGAGCAGAAAAACAACUUCCAAGGGUGAUUUAGCUACUGCUGCUGUGGAAUGUCAAAACUUUCAGCAAGGGAGCCCGAUGCAGAUCUGUUGAUAUGACACCAUUCCACAAGAAGACCAACUGAUGGCUUUGUGGCAAGUUGACUACACUGGGCUGUUUCUAUUCUGGGAAGACAGAGAUUUGUUCUAAGAGGAAUAGGCAUGUGUUGCAGGCAUAGGUUGACCUUUCCUGCCAUGGAGCCUCCUCUGGUACCACUAUUUGAAGGUUGAAGGAAUGUUGAUUCACCAGGAUUGAGUCAGACCAGCCAAGCCUAUGACCAUGAUGUCAACUGACUGUAUCACCUGUCACAUCAUCCAGAAGCUACAGACUUAUAAGGCAUUGGAAUAACUUGUAGAUGGCCCCGUUAAAGUACCAGCUUAGAGGCAACACUCCAUGAGAAUGAGACAUCAUCUCCAGGAUGGCACAUACACAUUGAAUCACACAGCAUUGAUAAGGAGAUGGCUCCCCAGUAGGAAGAAUAUAUUGGUCAUGAACCAAGGGAUGAAGCAGAAGUGUCUUGCUUCCUGUCCCUGCAGCCUCUCUUUCUGCAGUGCUAGAAAUCCUGGUCAAAAGGGGGCAUAAUUUUAUCAGGGGACACAGCAAAAGUCUCCACUACAUUGCAGCUAUGCCUGCUGCCUGGGGAUUUUGGGCUUCUUAUAAUUGGGACCAGCAAUAAAAGAGAAGAGUCACAGUCUUGGCAGGGCUAAUUGACCCUGAUCAGCAGGAGAAGAAAGGCUGUGGUUCCACUAUGAGGGUAGGGAAGACGUGUGGCACCACUGAUCCACUUUUGCAACCCAUGGUACUCCCGUGGCCAGUUGUGAUGACAGACAAGUGCAGGAACACUUUUGGGAAGGGCAUGGUGGCCAGAGUUCAGACCCCAUGGGAAUGAGGACCAGGGUCACACCACUGGAUAAGCCAGGAGAUUCUUCCCUUGACAUCACACCAGGAAAGUCUGACAACUUAACUUUAUUGGAUAUAGGCAACCGUUGAAUCCAAGUUUUGCCCACUGAAUCCAUCAAAUUGUUACAGCCAAUUCUAGAUGCCUGAGUGGACACAUGAAAUCCAGAUUCCCCAGUAAGCGCAUCCCCAUUAAUAAACUGACCAAAUGCAAUGUUAAUCUGUUCUAUAACCUUUAGAAUCCAUCCCAACAUAUAUUUUUUAGGUUCCUGCCAAGAUAUGUUAGCAAAAGCUUGCAAUUUUUUGAAAAAUGAAUUAUCUCUUCCUGGGACAUGUGUUGUACUUUUCUCUCUGAAAUAGGCUGAGCUCUGACUCCAUUAAAAGUCUGAAAGCAAUGAAGAGUGAAGGAGCGGAUAUUGGGGAGAAUAGGCAUCCUCUUGCAAGAUAACUGCCUCAAAGUCAUUAUAAGGUUUUCAAGCAAGAGAAAGCUAAUUUCCUUACACAUAUGAAGAAGCGUUGCUUCUCCUGGCAAGAAAUACACAGUGAAUCAGGGAUUCAAAAUUCUUAGCUUUAUCUAAGUUUACCCAGAUGUGUCUAUCCUUCCCAAUCAGUGCUCUUGGCAGGAGACUUGGCAAGUCUGCGAAGUCAACUUAUGUUAUAAUUCUGCAACCCACACAAGUUCUUAUUUUCAAUGAGGGUAACCUUGCAGCCACACAAAAUAGCAAAAUUUUUUAAGGAGUACCAUAGACACACUCUGGUUCUCUGUGUUCAGUGUUUUAAGCCUAUCUUUUUGUUCCCCUGUAAGCUCUUCAAUGUAGUCCAAAAUACACCAUCUGUGGUAGGCAGAAUUCUAAGAAGGUUCCAAAGAUUCUCACCCAUGGUGUAGAGAACUUGUAUAAUUUUCUCCCCUAAAGUGUAGGUGGAGCCCGUGAAUAGGAUGGGAUAUUAAUACCAUGAUUGUGUUAUAUUUUGAGACAAAAAAAAUUUUGUAGAUGUAAUUAAAGGUACUAAUCAGUUGACUAUGAGUUUAUCAAAAGGGAGAUCAUCCAGGUGGGCCUGACCUAAUCAUAUCAGCCCUCUAAAUCCUGGUCUAUGGGUCAGAGAAAGAGGAAGGCAGAGAUUUAAAGCAUGAGAGAAAUUCAAAGCAAACUAGAUUCUCCAUUGCUGUCUUUGAAGACAGGCAGCCAUGUGGCAAGGAAUGUGGGUAGCCGAUAGUGGCCGAUGACAGCUCCCAGCCCACACUUCAAGUUUAGCCUCGUAGGGCCCUGAGCAGGGGACACAACUAUACUGCAUUUACAAC
rnacentral:lncRNA from 10 species